rnacentral:lncRNA from 1 species
CCAACAUUGUCUGUAUUAAAUCCACACAGUUUCUUUGACAGUGAAUGCCACUUGAACAUAACCAACAUUUCCCAAAAAAUAAAUAUACAAUAAUAUAAAAUAAAAUGUACCUCCAUGCAUUCUCCACAGUCAACCAAAGUGGAACAUUGUCAACGUCGCUCUUUCUUUGACAGGGACAUCGAUUGGUUCCAACAUGGUAUUGGACAUGAUUUCAAUGUCUGCGUUGUAUGAAAACAAGAUAAAAUGUAAGCCUUAAACAAUGAAAAGUCUGACAUAUAACAUUCGAAAGUGAUGAAGCUAGAAAGAUAAGUGAGGAGUAUUAAAUAAAUGAAAGUUCCAUUCAACUACAAAAUUCUCUUAAUAUUGAGCAAUAUCACCAAUAAUGACAACUUCAUAGCAUCAAAACAUUCGAAUUAAGAUUGUGUAAAUUUUUAUCUUUAUUAGGAGCAGAUACGAUUACAAUUCUGACAAAAAUGAUAAGCACGUCCUAUGAUUUACAAAUCUGCAUAGCAUAUGUGUUAAAUUGUUAUAUUCCCUAGUACACCACAUAACAUACGAGUAUAGGAUUAUUCAAGCGGGUGAAGCGAAACUCAAGUCAAUAUAACAUAAUAGAGUGGAUUGAACCAUUAAACAAAAACCAUGCUACCCAAAUUCAUUAAAAAUACACUCUCCCUCUCUUUAUCCAACACAGCUGAUCUUCAAGCACUCACUCUAAGUACCAAUAAUCAAAACAUGCUUCGCUGAACUGGAUUUUGAAUAUUCAACUAUGAUGUGAUAAUACAUCUUUUUGUUAUACA